ensembl:lncRNA
GGAAAUAUGAAGUGUGAUUGCUGCACCCUAUGCGCUUGGUGAUGUCAGUUCUCUGGACUUGGCCUGUUUAAGAUAUCCUCACACAAUACAAGGGGGAAAAGGAUGAAAGGCAUCCCCACUGUGGAACGUCCCAGAAUAACUCCAGCAGCAUCACAACAAACCCAUUGUUUUCCUGCCAAGGCAUGAAGAGUCCCAUUCUAAACUUCUUCAUCACAGGCUUUCUUGGGCUGAUGGUGUCUUUGGUCGUUGGUGAUCUCAAUCUUUACAUUCACCUAGCAGCUCCCUGAGGGAGCAUUCUUGUAGCCCUGGAUGGCCUGACAAAGAAGGUACUGGCCCAAGAUAAUGGAGGGACAAGAACUUGUGAAAUUUCAUGGUUUCACUGUGACCAAGUGUUUUCUGAAUGAUACACCAAAAACCACACACCUGACAGAAUGUUUCUGGUUCCCAGGGUUCUUAAAGAACACUGAGUUCUUCAAUGAAAGCCUCAACUGUCUUUGAGGGAAUUCUCCGCCAUC